rnacentral:rRNA from 1 species
UACAGGGGGGGCAAGCGUUGUUCGGAAUUACUGGGCGUAAAGGGCGCGUAGGCGGUCAGCACAAGUCAGUUGUGAAAUCUCCGGGCUUAACUCGGAAAGGUCAACUGAUACUGUGCGACUAGAGUGCAGAAGGGGCAACUGGAAUUCUCGGUGUAGCGGUGAAAUGCGUAGAUAUCGAGAGGAGCACCUGCGGCGAAGGCGGGUUGCUGGGCUGACACUGACGCUGAUGCGCGAAAGCCAGGGGAGCGAACGGG